UGGGGAAUAUUGCACAAUGGGCGCAAGCCUGAUGCAGCAACGCCGCAUGAACGAUGAAGGUCUUCGGAUCGUAAAGUUCUGUUGCAGGGGAAGAUAAUGACGGUAACCGGAGAAGAAGCCCCGGCUAACUUCGUGCCAGCAGCCGCGGUAAUACGAAGGGGGCUAGCGUUGUUCGGAUUUACUGGGCGUAAAGCGCACGUAGGCGGACUUUUAAGUCAGGGGUGAAAUCCCGGGGCUCAACCCCGGAACUGCCUUUGAUACUGGAAGUCUUGAGUAUGGUAGAGGUGAGUGGAAUUCCGAGUGUAGAGGUGAAAUUCGUAGAUAUUCGGAGGAACACCAGUGGCGAAGGCGGCUCACUGGACCAUUACUGACGCUGAGGUGCGAAAGCGUGGGGAGUAAACAGG
rnacentral:rRNA from 1 species